GUGGGGAAUAUUGCACAAUGGGGGAAACCCUGAUGCAGCGACGCCGCGUGAGUGAAGAAGUGUUUCGGCACGUAAAGCUCUAUCAGCAGGGAAGAAAAUGACGGUACCUGACUAAGAAGCCCCGGCUAACUACGUGCCAGCAGCCGCGGUAAUACGUAGGGGGCAAGCGUUAUCCGGAUUUACUGGGUGUAAAGGGAGCGUAGACGGCUGUGCAAGUCUGAAGUGAAAGCCCGGGGCUUAACCCCGGGACUGCUUUGGAAACUGUAUAGCUUGAGUGCAGGAGAGGUAAGCGGAAUUCCUAGUGUAGCGGUGAAAUGCGUAGAUAUUAGGAGGAACACCAGUGGCGAAGGCGGCUUACUGGACUGCAACUGACGUUGAGGCUCGAAAGCGUGGGGAGCAAACAGGAUUAGAAACCCUAGUAGUCC
rnacentral:rRNA from 1 species